rnacentral:rRNA from 1 species
GACGAACGCUGGCGGCGUGCUUAACACAUGCAAGUCGUACGGUAAGGCCCUUUCGGGGGUACACGAGUGGCGAACGGGUGAGUAACACGUGAGUAACCUGCCCACAACUUUGGGAUAACGCUAGGAAACUGGUGCUAAUACUGGAUAUGUGCUCCUGCUGCAUGGUGGGGGUUGGAAAGCUCCGGCGGUUGUGGAUGGACUCGCGGCCUAUCAGCUUGUUGGUGGGGUAGUGGCCUACCAAGGCGGCGACGGGUAGCCGGCCUGGGGGGGUGACCGGCCACAUUGGGACUGAGAUACGGCCCAGACUCCUACGGGAGGCAGCAGUGGGGAAUAUUGCACAAUGGGCGCAAGCCUGAUGCAGCAACGCCGCGUGCGGGAUGACGGCCUUCGGGUUGUAAACCGCUUUCAGCAGGGACGAAGCUUUUUGUGACGGUACCUGCAGAAGAAGCACCGGCUAACUACGUG